rnacentral:lncRNA from 1 species
GCGCGAUGAUUUUCUGUGAUUAUCCGGCGGAAUACAACCCGAAGAUCCACGGACCUUACGAUCCUGUCCGUUACUACGGCAA